rnacentral:lncRNA from 1 species
CGGGACAUAAAUCUCAGCUUGUGUCUUUCCUGGCUGUGCUCCUGCGGACGAAGCACCACGGGCCAGAUUCCGGCAGAGUUAUUCCUGCUCGCUCUCACCUUGCUUUACAAGCCCUAAUUCAAAUUGAUGGAGCUCUUCACACAAAAAGCUGCUUCCCGGUGUGAGGGUGGCAGGACGUGGCCAGCAGAUCAGCGUUUCGUGCCUGCCCGCUGCUUUCCCCUCUUCUCUUCCCUCUCUCCCCACAGCGAGUGGUCAGCGUUCUCACCGCCCCGGCGUGUUGACAUGCCUGAAAUAUCUCUGCUUCGCUGCCUGUGCUCUUGGAAGUAUUUUGCUGCUCUCUCACCUCUCCAUGAGAGAGACACAUUCAUCUGUCAGCUUAUCGGAGGAAUUUCCAACAAUCCGUGGCAGCGCUACAAGUCUCGAUCUUGCUCUUUGAUCAGAUGCCUCCUGAAUACAUUGCUGGUUGCAAAC